GGGCGCAGCCUGAUCCAGCCAUGCCGCGUGAGUGAAGAAGGCCUUCGGGUUGUAAAGCUCUUUCGGUGGGGAAGAAAUUGCACGGGAUAAUACCCUGUGUAGAUGACGGUACCUGGAGAAGAAGCACCGGCUAACUACGUGCCAGCAGCCGCGGUAAUACGUAGGGUGCGAGCGUUAAUCGGAAUUACUGGGCGUAAAGCGUGCGCAGGCGGUUGGAUAAGUCAGAUGUGAAAUCCCCGGGCUCAACCUGGGAACUGCAUUUGAGACUGCCCAGCUGGAGUUGGGCAGAGGGA
rnacentral:rRNA from 1 species